UACGGGGGGGUGCGAGCGUUGUCCGGAAUCACUGGGCGUAAAGGGCGCGUAGGUGGUUUGAUAAGGGUGUGGUGAAAGUCCGGGGCUCAACCCCGGAUCUGCCGUGCCGACUGUCGAAACUCGAGGGCUGUAGAGGCAGACGGAAUUCCGGGUGUAGCGGUGGAAUGCGUAGAGAUCCGGAGGAAGACCGGUGGCGAAGGCGGUCUGCUGGGCAGUUUCUGACACUGAUGCGCGACGAGCGUGGGGAGCAAACAGG
rnacentral:rRNA from 1 species